GACAAUCUGGGCCUGGGCUGCAUAACCAGGAUCAUUUCUACCAGCAGGUAACAAAAGAUGCUCAGGAUCACCGUAGCCUAGAAAGAGGCCAGUCAGAGCUGGUGCCUCCUCCGCCACAGAAUUCUCCCCAACAAGUACCCCAAGCUGCGUGUCCAGAGCCUUCAAAUCCAGAAAGCCCACCCACACAAGGACAGUCUGAAGGCUUGGUCCAGCCAUCAGCAAGUCCAGCUCCAGUCAACACAGGCCAGCAGCCUCAGCCACCGCAGUCCUCCAGUGCAUCGGUUACAUCUACCAACUCCAACCAGGCAGCUGUGCGGUCAGAACAGCCAUGGCUACACCCACCUCCCACUACUUUUGGCCCAGCACCUCAAGACUUGGCAUCCUACUACUAUUAUAGACCCCCGUAUGAAGCCUACCAGUCUCCGUACCCUUCACCGUACCCAUCAGAUCCUGGAGCAGCCUCUUUAUACUACCAAGAUAUCUAUGGCCUGUAUGAGCCUCGUUACAGACCCUAUGACAGCUCGGCAUC
rnacentral:lncRNA from 1 species